rnacentral:rRNA from 1 species
UACGGAGGGAGCUAGCGUUGUUCGGAAUUACUGGGCGUAAAGCGCACGUAGGCGGCUUUGUAAGUUAGAGGUGAAAGCCCGGGGCUCAACUCCGGAACUGCCUUUAAGACUGCAUCGCUUGAAUCCAGGAGAGGUGAGUGGAAUUCCGAGUGUAGAGGUGAAAUUCGUAGAUAUUCGGAAGAACACCAGUGGCGAAGGCGGCUCACUGGCCCGAUACUGACGCUGAGGUGCGAAAGCGUGGGGAGCAAACAGG